UGCCUGGCGGACUAGUGGCUAGCACACGGCACUCUCGUUGCUGCGGUCCGGGUUCGAUUCUUGGCCAGGGAA